rnacentral:rRNA from 1 species
GGUUGGAAAUCAUUCAUAGAGUGUAAAGGCAUAAGGGAGCUUGACUGCGAGACCUACAAGUCGAGCAGGGUCGAAAGACGGACUUAGUGAUCCGGUGGUUCCGCAUGGAAGGGCCAUCGCUCAACGGAUAAAAGCUACCCCGGGGAUAACAGGCUUAUCUCCCCCAAGAGUUCACAUCGACGGGGAGGUUUGGCACCUCGAUGUCGGCUCAUCGCAUCCUGGGGCUGUAGUCGGUCCCAAGGGUUGGGCUGUUCGCCCAUUAAAGCGGUACGCUAGCUGGGUUCAGAACGUCGUGAGACAGUUCGGUCCCUAUCCGUCGUGGGCGUAGGAAAUUUGAGAGGAGCUGUCCUUAGUACGAGAGGACC